AAUUGAGCUAUAUUAUUUGAUGAUAAUAACUGAAUAUAUUAUUAGAUAAAAUAUAAUAAAAUAUGUAUAAUAAAUAUUUGGUGUGAUGAAUAGUGUUACACCAAAUUACACCAAAUUUGAAGAAUGCUGUAAUUUUUAGUGUUCUAUUAGAGAUGAAAUUACAUCAGUGUUUUGAUGCCCUAUUGGAGCUGUCCUAAUGGCUCGCAUGGGUGGCCGUUUAAUGGCUCGCUUGAGUGGCUGUUUUAGUGUUAUAAUAGGUAGUUACAAGUUCAAACUUUAUAUUACAAUAGUAUUGACAAACCAAAUACCUUUUCAAAACAAUAAUACAUAUAUGUUUCAAUAUAUACACACUGCAUCAUUAGACCACAUCCAUCAAGGGGUUCUUAGAUGGGUUUAGGAAGAAAAUAAAAAAAAAAUGAAAAAGCCCAAAAUAAAGAAGAACCCGUGCUUAUUUUGGGCUUUUUAGAGAUGGUAAGAGACCCUUUCGUGUCAGUUGCGUGUUGGUCCUCAUGUGUUUGUCUCUCUCUCCUUCCGUUGGCUUCGCGCUUCGUCUUCUUCCGUCAUCCAUCGCUGUUUCAGCUUUGAAUCAGGUGGUAUAUUGUUGUUCUCUUUUACCAUUGAAUCUGUGCAAGAGCGUGGUGAAUGACUGUUAUUACCCUUUUACUUUGCAGUGGAGACAAUAGCGAAGAAGAAGGUGGAGGAUGUUACGCCCAUUGCAACCGGACACGAGAAGGAGGAGCUUGAAGCUGAACUUGAGGGGAGGAGGCUGCUUAACAUUGACUUUCCUGAAGGUCCCUUCAGAACAAGGAGCAGCUAGAAUUGGUGCGGGAGGAGAUUCGUGUUUGGUCUCUGUUCAACCAUACUAAUCUGCUUCCUCUUCUUGACCAUGCCAUUAUUUCUGUUAAGGUAAGUGUAAGCAUACGACUCUGAAACUUACAUGGCUGAUGUUUAAUUUUUUAAUGUUUUUGCUUGUUUUUUUUUCUUGGGGGUGUUCACUUUGGCUCUGGCUUUUGUCGUUGGAUUGACAUGUGCCUUCACCAAUGGGAAAGUGAUUCUAGAGUCAGCGAUCUUGACAACGGUUGUGGUGCUUUCCCUCACCGUGUACACCUUCUGGGCUGCUAAGAGAGGAUAUGACUUCAACUUCCUCGGACCAUUCUUGUUCGGUGCUCUCAUCGUGCUCAUUGUCUUUGCCAUGAUACAAGUAAUGCCACUUAUUCCAAACUCUAUGCCAUAAGAAUUACAGAGAGUGAGAGAGUUUUAAUCUUAGCUAGUGAAAUGUAGUAGCGUUUUGGUUGUAUUUUCAGCUACAAGUAAGAAACUUGCACCUAGUGCAACUAAUCGGUUUUCAUCAA